UACGUAGGGGGCAAGCGUUGUCCGGAAUUACUGGGCGUAAAGGGCUCGUAGGCGGCCAACUAAGUCCGACGUGAAAUCCCCAGGCUUAACCUGGGAACUGCGUCGGAUACUGGAUGGCUUGAAUCCGGGAGAGGGAUGCGGAAUUCCAGGUGUAGCGGUGAAAUGCGUAGAUAUCUGGAGGAACACCGGUGGCGAAGGCGGCAUCCUGGACCGGCAUUGACGCUGAUGAGCGAAAGCCAGGGGAGCAAACGGG
rnacentral:rRNA from 1 species